GCUGCGGAGGCUACACUGCAUGUGAGCGCGCUUCGGGUGAGCGGCGGACGGGUUAGUAACGCGUGGGAACGUGCCCUUCUCUACGGAAUAGCCUCUGGAAACGGAGAGUAAUACCGUAUACGCCCUUUGGGGGAAAGAUUUAUCGGAGAAGGAUCGGCCCGCGUUAGAUUAGGUAGUUGGUGGGGUAACGGCCUACCAAGCCUACGAUCUAUAGCUGGUUUUAGAGGAUGAUCAGCAACACUGGGACUGAGACACGGCCCAGACUCCUACGGGAGGCAGCAGUGGGGAAUCUUAGACAAUGGGGGCAACCCUGAUCUAGCCAUGCCGCGUGAGUGAUGAAGGCCUUAGGGUCGUAAAGCUCUUUCGCCUGUGAUGAUAAUGACAGUAGCAGGUAAAGAAACCCCGGCUAACUCCGUGCCAGCAGCCGCGGUAAUACGGAGGGGGUUAGCGUUGUUCGGAAUUACUGGGCGUAAAGCGCGCGUAGGCGGAUUAGAAAGUUGGGGGUGAAAUCCCGGGGCUCAAACCCGGAACUGCCUCCAAAACUGCUAGUCUAGAGUUCGAGAGAGGUGAGUGGAAUUCCGAGUGUAGAGGUGAAAUUCGUAGAUAUUCGGAGGAACACCAGUGGCGAAGGCGGCUCACUGGCUCGAUACUGACGCUGAGGUGCGAAAGUGUGGGGAGCAAAC
rnacentral:rRNA from 1 species